UCUUAUGCGUUUUUGUCUCU
rnacentral:miRNA from 2 species